ensembl:snRNA U6 U6 spliceosomal RNA
AUGCUAGCCACGGCAGCACAUACACUAAAAUUGGAAUGAUACAGAGAUUAGCAUGGUCCACCCCCGCUCAAGUAUGACAUGCAAAUUAGUAAGCUAGUUCAUAGUUUU